rnacentral:rRNA from 1 species
CCACAUUGGGACUGAGACACGGCCCAGACUCCUACGGGAGGCAGCAGUGGGGAAUAUUGCACAAUGGGGGAAACCCUGAUGCAGCGACGCCGCGUGGAGGAAGAAGGUCUUCGGAUUGUAAACUCCUGUUGUUGAGGAAGAUAAUGACGGUACUCAACAAGGAAGUGACGGCUAACUACGUGCCAGCAGCCGCGGUAAAACGUAGGUCACAAGCGUUGUCCGGAAUUACUGGGUGUAAAGGGAGCGCAGGCGGGAAGACAAGUUGGAAGUGAAAUCCAUGGGCUCAACCCAUGAACUGCUUUCAAAACUGUUUUUCUUGAGUAGUGCAGAGGUAGGCGGAAUUCCCGGUGUAGCGGUGGAAUGCGUAGAUAUCGGGAGGAACACCAGUGGCGAAGGCGGCCUACUGGGCACCAACUGACGCUGAGGCUCGAAAGUGUGGGUAGCAAACAGGAUUAGAUACCCUGGUAGUCCACACUGUAAACGAUGAUUACUAGGUGUUGGAGGAUUGACCCCUUCAGUGCCGCAGUUAACACAAUAAGUAAUCCACCUGGGGAGUACGACCGCAAGGUUGAAACUCAAAGGAAUUGACGGGGGCCCGCACAAGCAGUGGAGUAUGUGGUUUAAUUCGACGCAACGCGAAGAACCUUACCAAGUCUUGACAUCCUGCGACGGUUCUGGAAACAGAACUUUCCUUCGGGACGCAGAGACAGGUGGUGCAUGGUUGUCGUCAGCUCGUGUCGUGAGAUGUUGGGUUAAGUC